rnacentral:misc_RNA from 1 species
UAGAAGCCUUGCCUGCCACUUAAAUUGAUCCUUUGAACUUCGGCUCUAUCUUGACUUGAGAUGAUUUUGUUUUUUACAAAGAAAAAGUCUUCGUCGAACUUCACUAGCUCAGAAGUAUGGUGAAAUUCUCUCUGCCCACUAGAGAGAGAAUUUUUCUCUCUUCUCUAUUUUUCGUUCCUGAGGUAUUCGGCCUCUGCAUCUGUCGUUUCACCGUCUAGUAGUUUUCCCUGUCUUAUCAAGGCAGGGGAGACUAUUCUCACCUGUCCUGGAGUGCGUUUGGCCUCUACUUUCUUCCAGAUGGGACUAUGUGCAUAAAUAAGGCUUCUGUGCUGUGGUGGUGGAAUUAGUGUCAAUAGUUGAGGGUUUCUUUCCAUCUACGUAUGGUUUGUCUGUGUACUGGGUCUGGGAAGGUCUGUUUUUUGACCGGCGGAAUCUCCAGAGUCUUUACCCACCACGUAGUAUGCUGACUCUUCAAGAACAUAGGAGCUUUACGUCACCCGCUCUUGAUCUGACCUUCUGAUUAACGAAGGAGCUCACGAUUUGGCCCACUUUUCCCUUGGGGGCUUGGGUUGCCUUCUUUAAGGCUCUAAUAUCUUGUAUUAUCUUUGUUCUUCUUGAUGUCCUUAGAGCCCCAACAUUUUGGCCAUAGAUGGUGACAACGAUGAAGGGUCAGCUGCUGCACAUUCCCUGCGUCUCCUGCCAUAACUCUGAAUGGGCAUGGAGGGCUGGGCUCAUGUGUUUUUGAGUUGUCGGUUUCUCCGGUUGUCGUGGUUGGGACUUGUAUUGUGGGCUUGGAUUUAUUUAAUG